GAUCGAGGCCUAUGCCGAGGUUUUUCGAGGUGUCGCUUGAGAGGUCAAGGACUAUGCCAAGGUUUUAUGGCGUGAGAGUGUCGCUUGAGAGAUCGAGUCCUAUGCCAUGGUUUAUCGAGGUGUCGCUUGAGAGGUCGAGGACUAUGCCAAGGUUUAAUGGGGUGUCGCUUGAGAGGCCAAGGCCUAUGCCAAGGUUUUUCAAGGCGUGGCAAUGGCAUGAGUUAGGACGUCCCAGGACAUGGUAGGGCGUGGCCAUGGCACUGGCCAGGACGUGUCAGUACGUCCCAGGACACGGAUGGGGACGUGUCAGGACGUCGCAGGACAUGGCAGGGCAUGGCCAUGGCACGAUUCAGGACGUGCCAGGACGCGUCAGGACAUGGCCAUGGCACGUGUCAGGACGCAUCAGGACAUAGCCAUGGAAUGUGUCAAGACGCGUCAGGACAACGCAGGGCAUGGCCAUGGCACGAGUCAAGACAUCGCAAGACAUGGCUGGGCGUGGCCAUGGCACGAGUAAGGACGUCGCAGGACGCGUCAGGACAUGGCCAUGGCACGUGUGAACGAGUCGGGACGUCGCAAGACAUGGCAGGGGGUGGCCAUGGCACAAGUAAGGACGUCGUAGGACGCGUCAGGACAUGGCCAUGGUAUGUGUCAGGACGCAUAUGCACGCAUCAGGACAUGGUCAUGGCACGAGUCGGGACGUCGCAGGACAUGGCAGGGCGUGGCCAUGGCACGAGUCUGGACGUCGCAAGACAUGGCAGGGUGAGGCCAUGGCACGGGUCGGGACGUCGCAGAACAUGGCAGGGCGAGGCCAUGGAACGAGUCAGGAUGUCUUCUUGACGCAUCAGGACAUGGCCAUGGAACGAGUCAGGACGUCCCAGGAUGCGUCAGAACAUGGCCUUGGCCCGAGUCAGGACGUCGCAAGACGCGUCAGGACAUGGCCAUGGUACGUGUCAGGACGCAUCAGGACAUGGCCAUUGCACGAGUCGGGACAUCGCAGGACAUGGCAGGGCGUGGUCAUGGCACGAGUCGGGACGUCGCAGGACAUGGCACGGCAUGUUAAUGGCAUGACUAAUGACGUCGCGGGACAUGGCAGGGCGUGGCCAUGGCAAGAGUCAGGACGUCGCAGGACGCGUCAGGACGCGUCUGGACAUGGCACAGCGUGGCCAUGGCAAGAGUCGGGACGUCGCAGGACAUGGCAGGAUAUGGCCAUGGUACGUGUCAGGACGUGGCCAUGGCACGACAUCGCACCAAGCCGUACCACAUCUAUUUCAAACAAAUUCUUCGAAACAUGUCUAGUGCAAUGAUGUUGGUGGUCGUUGGCGGCGGUGGUGGAAAGUCGGGGUGGUUCGAGUAGUAGCGUCGGGCGACGGCCGGUCGACACGUGUAAGGACUCAGGACGUGGCCAUGGCACGACAUCGCACCAAGCCGUACCACAUCUAUUUCAAACAAAUUCUUCGAAACAUGUCUAGUGCAAUGAUGUUGGUGGUCGUUGGCGGCGGUGGUGGAAAGUCGGGGUGGUUCGAGCGGUAACGUAAGGCGAUGGUCGGUUGACGCUUGGUGGUUUGCCGCGGUUUCUUCAAAUCUUAAUCAGUUGUUGUGGUAGGUCAACAUGUCAAGCACAAUAAAUGUUGGUGGUCUUUUGUGGCAGUGGUCGGAAGUCGCGGUGGUUCGAUCGGUAUCCACCGGCGACGGUUGGUCGACGCUUUGUGGUUGGGGGCGGAUUUUUCAAAUCAGAAUCACUUGUUGUGGUUCCGACAAUGGAGGUGCCUCGUGCUUAUUGGUGGUUGGUCAUCUAUACGCUUUUAUUAUAAUAUUAUGUAUUUUUCCUAUUUUUAAUAUAUUUUUUAGUAAUUUUUAUGCAUUCGUAUGCAUUUUUUGUUAUUGUAAAUUAUUUUUGUGUCACUUUUUAAUUAAAAUAUUUACUCUUUUAUAUGUUAUACUAUUACAAGAUGUAUUGGAAUUUUUCUCCAUCAUUUUUUCUAUUUCUAUAAUAAUUUUCAUAUUUUUUAGUAUUUUAUUAAGUAUUUUUCUUUUUAAAUAAAAAUAUUUCAAAAAAAUAUUAUUUUUUUGUAAAAAAUAUCAUUUACAAUGUUUAAUACUCAUUUGUUUAUAUGUUAGCGAAGUUGUUCUUUGGUUUGUGCUAUUUGGUGUUGUACAUGUCUAUUAUGAUUCUCUGGCCAAAACAUGUGUACUCUUGAAACUUGGGUUUUUUUUUAAUUAUAUAUAAGGGGGUAGAGGUGUUGAGAGGCACCUCAGGUGCUUCCUACCAGGAAGGGGCGGGCAUGCAUGGGGGACGGUUUUAUAUAAGGGGGGUAGAGGUGUUGAGAGGCAGCUCAGGUGCUUGCUUCCAAGAAGGGGUGGGCAUGCAUGGGGGAUGCUGGAAUAGGGCGUGUGCAUUGAGGGCAUGCACAGCUUGUUCGUGCUACGUCCUCGAUGUUCCCAAACUAUGUCGGCAAGUACUCGUGUGGCCUUGUAGUACGCCUGUUGGUGGCACCGCUCG
rnacentral:lncRNA from 1 species